GCCCAAAGUGACAAUGUGCUGUGCUUUCCGAAGCUCUCAGUCGGCUAAUUAUACUGCAUUGAAGAGCCUUCCCUGUAUCUCUAUAGUGGAUUUUAUGGCUAACUUUAUUGAAAUAUUUCUCCUUUGUUAUCUAGGACUUAGCAGCUUUUCUCUUUCUAAUGCUUGACUACGUAGACAGGAAAUCAAGUUGAUAAUGUCUCCUGGAUCAUAACAAGCUCAUCUAUUUGCAGUAGUAAAGAUCUGUGGUAAGAGCAAGGGCCAAGCGAGUGCAUGUCAGAUGUGCUGCCUGGUCCCAAGACAGCAGGCAACAUGAAAGAAAAAAGCCAAGUUCAAGACCUUGCCGAGGACAACAAGCUGCAGCGCCAGCCACCCAGCUGAGUGACACCAAGCCUGUAAUGGAACAUUACUUGUUGAGCUGCCAUGAUGUGAAUUGCUCUCUGAUGUCCCCCCUCAGGAUGGCUUAAAACAGCUGUAACCAUAAGGUUUACAAACUAUUUCUCAUUAAAGCUUGUCAACAAGCAGCAACGCAA